rnacentral:rRNA from 1 species
UGAAUACGAGAUGCUACGGCGUCGAAGCAGUCUAUGUCAUACUUCCAAGAAAAGCUCGCACUGUCAUAAACAAAUAAUGCCUGUACCAUAACCGACACAGGUGGGUAGGUAGAGUAUACUAAGGGGCGCGAGAUAACUCUCUCUAAGGAACUCGGCAAAAUGACUCCGUAACUUCGGGAGAAGGAGUGCCUUAUUUAUAAGGUUGCAAUAACAAGAUCCAAGCAACUGUUUAUCAAAAACACAGGUCUCCGCUAAGUCGUAAGACGAUGUAUGGGGGCUGACGCCUGCCCAGUGCCAGAAGGUUAAAGAAGUUGGUUAGCAUUCGCGAAGCUGAUAACUGAAGCCCUGGUGAACGGCGGCCGUAACAAUAACGGUCCUAGGUAGCGAAAUUCCUUGUCGGGUAAGUUCCGACCCGCACGAAAGGCGUAAUGAUUUGGAUACUGUCUCGGAGAGGGGCUCGGUGAAAUAGACUUGUCUGUGAAGAUGCGGACUACCUGCACCAGGACAGAAAGACCCUAUGAAGCUUUACUGUAACUUGAGAUUGAAAUUGGACUUUACUUGCGCAGUAUAGGUGGGAGGCGUUGAUAAUAUUCUUGCGGGAUUAUUUGAGCCAUCAGUGAGAUACCACUCUUGUAAUGUUAGAUUUCUAACUUUGUAUCAUUAUCUGGUCAAAGGACAGUUUCAGGCGGGCAGUUUGACUGGGGCGGUCGCCUCCUAAACGGUAACGGAGGCGCACAAAGGUUUCCUCUGAACGGGUAGAAAUCGUAUCUAGAGUGUAAAGGCAUAAGGAAGCUUGACUGUGAGACCUACAAGUCGAGCAGGGACGAAAGUCGGUCUUAGUGAUCUGACGGUGCUGAGUGGAAAGGCCGUCACUCAACGGAUAAAAGUUACUCUAGGAUAACAGGCUGAUCUCCCCCAAGAGUUCACAUCGACGGGGAGGUUUGGCACCUCGAUGUCGGCUCAUCGCAUCCUGGGGCGGUAGUACGUCCCAAGGGUUGGGCUGUUCGCCCAUGAAAGCGGUACGCGAGCUGGGUUCAGAACGUCGUGAGACAGUUCGGUCCAUAUCCGGUGUAGGCGUUAGAAUAUUGAGAGGAGCCUUCUUUAGUACGAGAGGACCGAGAAGGACAUACCUCUGGUGUACCAGUUAUCGUGCCAACGGUAAACGCUGGGUAGCUAUGUAUGGAGUGGAUAACCGCUGAAAGCAUCUAAGUGGGAAGCCCACCUCAAGAUAAGUAUUCUC